AUACAUGCAGUCGAGCGAACAGAUAAGGAGCUUGCUCCUUUGACGUUAGCGGCGGACGGGUGAGUAACACGUGGAUAACCUACCUAUAAGACUGGGAUAACUUCGGGAAACCGGAGCUAAUACCGGAUAACAUAUUGAACCGCAUGGUUCAAUAGUGAAAGGCGGCUUUGCUGUCACUUAUAGAUGGAUCCGCGCCGUAUUAGCUAGUUGGUAAGGUAACGGCUUACCAAGGCAACGAUACGUAGCCGACCUGAGAGGGUGAUCGGCCACACUGGAACUGAGACACGGUCCAGACUCCUACGGGAGGCAGCAGUAGGGAAUCUUCCGCAAUGGGCGAAAGCCUGACGGAGCAACGCCGCGUGAGUGAUGAAGGUCUUCGGAUCGUAAAACUCUGUUAUCAGGGAAGAACAAAUGUGUAAGUAACUGUGCACAUCUUGACGGUACCUGAUCAGAAAGCCACGGCUAACUACGUGCCAGCAGCCGCGGUAAUACGUAGGUGGCAAGCGUUAUCCGGAAUUAUUGGGCGUAAAGCGCGCGUAGGCGGUUUUUUAAGUCUGAUGUGAAAGCCCACGGCUCAACCGUGGAGGGUCAUUGGAAACUGGAAAACUUGAGUGCAGAAGAGGAAAGUGGAAUUCCAUGUG
rnacentral:rRNA from 1 species